rnacentral:rRNA from 1 species
GACGAACGCUGGCGGCGUGCCUAAUACAUGCAAGUCGAACGCAGUGGGGACGGGUGAGUAACACGUGGGUAACCUCCCAUCAGAGGGGAUAACACUUGGAAACAGGUGCUAAACCGAUACUGAUGGAUGGACCCGCGGUGCAUUAGCUAGUUGGGGAGGUAACGGCUCAACAAGGCCACGAUGCAUAGCUGACCUGAUGGGGUGUUGGGCGAAGCUGGGCCUGUGACACGGCCCAAGAGCCUCCGGGAGGGCGCAGGAGGGAAGCUUCGUCAAUGGACGAAGGUCUGACCGAGGAAUGCCGCGUCAGUGAAGCAGGUUAUCAGUUAGUAAAACCCUGUUGUUAGAGCAGCGGUAUCUAACCAGAAAGCCACGGCUAACUCCGUGCCAGCAGCCGCGGUAAUAC